AAGACUUCCCCGAAGCCGGCGAAACGACAGCUGUCGAGCCUGAAGCACAAAUCGUCUAGAGACCACACCACAGUCGAGGAUCACACUACGAAUGAAUCGGCUUUCGGCAAUCUCUCCAUCGAAAAACUGUACGAGAACGUGUUCAAAGAAAGUGCAGAUCCUGGACAGCAAAACGCUACAUUGAACGAGUCAAGGAAAGGUACCAAAACCGAAAAGGUGUUCCCGGACGGUUCGAAGGAAACAAAAUACAGUAACGGGAACACCAAAACUGUCUCGCCGGACGGUAAUCUGAUUAUUGUACAUUACUACAACGGAGACAUAAAGGAAACGAACUUGACGGAGCACACCAUAAAAUAUUACUAUGCCGAGACUGAGACUUGGCACACUCAAUUCGGGGAUGGAUCGGAGCUGUUGGAGUAUUCCAAGUAAGUUUUGGAGAAGUCUUUAAAUGCUCCCAAUGAAUAAUAAUGGUCACUUCCCACAGCUACCAUUUUGUCCACUCUUCAUUACUGCCAGGUAUCAGGUGCCGACUCCACAUUACUUUGUAUUUCAACUG
rnacentral:misc_RNA from 1 species